GAUGAACGCUGGCGGCGCGCCUAACACAUGCAAGUCGAACGAUUAAAGCACCUUCGGGUGUGUAUAAAGUGGCGAACGGCUGAGUAACACGUGGGCAACCUGCCCCUUUCAUUGGGAUAGCCACGGGAAACCGUGGAUAAUACCGAAUACUUCGAGACUUCCGCAUGGAAGUCUCGAGAAAGCUCCGGCGGAGAGGGAUGGGCCCGCGGCCUGUUAGCUUGUUGGUGGGGUAACGGCCUACCAAGGCAAUGAUGGGUAGCUGGGUUGAGAGACCGACCAGCCAGAUUGGGACUGAGACACGGCCCAGACUCCUACGGGAGGCAGCAGUGGGGAAUCUUGCACAAUGGGCGAAAGCCUGAUGCAGCGACGCCGCGUGCGGGAUGAAGGCCUUCGGGUUGUAAACCGCUUUCAGCAGGGACGAGGCGAAAGUGACGGUACCUGCAGAAGAAGCCCCGGCUAACUACGUG
rnacentral:rRNA from 1 species